rnacentral:rRNA from 1 species
GGNNNNUCGCUGGUCCGCGUCUAGCUAUAGCUAUGUGGGCCAGCAUCGAUCGAUCAGCUACGAUCUGCNNNNUCAGCUAGCUAUAGCUAUAGGUCGACCGACUGANNGGCUAGCCNAGCUAGCAUAAUGAGCUGNCCACCCUAGCUACGAUGNNNAGCUAUAUGCAGCUGCGCAGCGACGCCNNNGUGAGUGAUGAAGGCCUUCGGGUCGUAAAGCUCUGUCGCAGGGAAUAACACAAUGAAGGUACCUGUGGGAAAGGAUCGGCUAAUUUCGUGCCAGCAGCCGGGGUAAGACGAGGAAUCCUAGCGUUGUCGGAAUUAUUGGGCCUUAAGCGGGUGUAGGUUGCUAUUUAAGUCAAGUGUGAAAGCCGGGGGCUCAACCCAGAAGUGCAAUUGAUACUGCGUAGCUUGAGGCCUGGAGAGGUUACUAGAAUUUUGGUGGUGUGGGGGAAAUACGUAGAAAUCAAGAGGAAUACCCCAGGCGAAGGCGGGUACCUGGCCAAGGGCACUGACACCAGACCCGAAAGGGUGGGGAUCAAACAGGAUUAGAUACCCUGGUAGUCCACGCCGUAAACGAUGGAUAUUUGUUGUUGGAGGAAUUGACCCCUUUUCAGUGACGAAGCUAACGCGUUUAAGUAUCCCGCCUUGGGGGAGCGGUCGCAAGGUUUAAAACUAAAGAAAAAUUUUGACGGGGGCCCGCACAAGCGGUGGAGCAUGUGGUUUAACCGAUGACAACGGGAAGAGAACUUCUAGGCUUGACAUGACUGCAGAUGUUCGAAACGUGCCGUCGCUCGCAGAGUCGUACAGGUGCUGCAUGCUGUCGUCAGCUCGUGUCGU